GUCUAAUGUAAUCCCAUUAACCAACAAAGUCGUUGACAAAAGCAAGCCGUGGCUCCACCCCACUUUCAUUGCCUAUUUUUUCAUUCCACUAACCACAAGAUGAGAGAGAGAGAGAGAGAGAGAGANNNUUCUGAAUUGUUUAGUCAAUUAAUGCGAUAAGAGAAAGUAUGAUAGUUGAAAUUACAUAUCAGUCGUUUUUGUUGAACAGAAAUGCUAAGUGGCAUGAAAGAGUCAACUGAGAUUGAAUCUCUGACCAUUUUUU
rnacentral:misc_RNA from 1 species